rnacentral:tRNA from 1 species
GCCCGCGGUGGCUCAGUUGGAUAGAGCGUCUGCCAUGUAAGCAGGAGAUCCAGGGUUCGAGUCCCGGUCGGGGCA